CCGAAGGCUAUGCAUUGCGCUCAUCAUCUCAAAAGCUCUUCUUCUUCUCCUUAGUUGAUUUCAUCUUCAGUUGCUUGAGCUUAAUUACAGACUGAGAGAAGAUGUCUUGCAGCUGUGGAUCUAGCUGCAGCUGCGGCUCAAACUGCUCCUGCGGGUAAUUUUCACUGUAACUUUGCUGACUUGUUCUUGAUUUAUAGGGCAAUCUUUUCAUUAUUAAUAUUCUCUAAAUAUGCAGAGUAAUCGUUGUUGCAGAGUUAAUUCUUGUGGUAACUGAUUGAUGUUGAUUUUGUUGCAGAAAGAAGUACCCUGACCUGGAAGAGAAGAGCAGCAGCACCAAGGCCACCGUCGUGCUGGGUGUGGCGCCGGAGAAGAAGGCGCAGCAGUUUGAGGCGGCCGCAGAGUCCGGCGAGACCGCCCAUGGCUGCAGCUGCGGUUCCAGCUGCAGGUGCAACCCUUGCAACUGCUAAGAUGCCUGCCUGCAUCUACCAUCUA
rnacentral:lncRNA from 1 species